rnacentral:rRNA from 1 species
CUCUUAGAUGUUCGGGGCCGCACGCGCGCUACACUGAAGGAAUCAGCACGUCUUUCUCCUUGUCCGAAAGGACUGGGUAACCCGCUGAACCUCCUUCGUGCUAGGGAUUGGGGCUUGUAAUUCUUCCCCAUGAACGAGGAAUUCCCAGUAAGCGCGAGUCAUAAGCUCGCGUUGAUUACGUCCCUGCCCUUUGUACACACCGCCCGUCGCUACUACCGAUUGGAUGGUUUAGUGAGAUCCUCGGAUUGGUCCCGGAGCGGCCUCUGGUCGUGCCGGAGUGCCGAAAAGAAUGUCGAACUUGAUCAUCUAGAGGAAGUAAAAGUCGUAACA